rnacentral:rRNA from 1 species
ACUUUCGAUGGUAGGAUAGUGGCCUACCAUGGUUUCAACGGGCUAACGGGGAAUAAGGGUUCGAUUCCGGAGAGGGAGCCUGAGAAACGGCUACCACAUCCAAGGAAGGCAGCAGGCGCGCAAAUUACCCAAUCCUAAUUCAGGGAGGUAGUGACAAUAAAUAACGAUACAGGGCCCAUUCGGGUCUUGUAAUUGGAAUGAGUACAAUGUAAAUACCUUAACGAGGAACAAUUGGAGGGCAAGUCUGGUGCCAGCAGCCGCGGUAAUUCCAGCUCCAAUAGCGUAUAUUAAAGUUGUUGCAGUUAAAAAGCUCGUAGUUGAACUUUGGGCCCGGUUGGCCGGUCCGAUUUUUUCGUGUACUGGAUUUCCAACCGGGCCUUUCCUUCUGGCUAACCUUGGGUCCUUGUGGCUCUUGGCGAACCAGGACUUUUACUUUGAAAAAAUUAGAGUGUUCAAAGCAGGCGUAUUGCUCGAAUAUAUUAGCAUGGAAUAAUAGAAUA